GAUGAAGAACGUAGCGAAUUGCGAUAAGUAAUGUGAAUUGCAGAAUUCAGUGAAUCAUCGAAUCUUUGAACGCACAUUGCGCCCGCCAGUAUUCUGGCGGGCAUGCCUGUUCGAGCGUCAUUUCAACCCUCAAGCCCAGCUUGGUGUUGGGGAUCGGCACAGGCGCCCUCGGGCGCCCGCCGUCCCCUAAAUCUAGUGGCGGUCCCGCUGUAGCCUCCUCUGCGUAGUAGUUUUCUCCUCGCAAGGGCAGCUCGGUGGCGACCUCGCCGUAAAACCCCCAACUUCUGAAAGGUUGACCUCGAAUCAGGUAGGAAUACCCGCUGAACUUAAGCAUAUCAAUAAGCGGAGGA
rnacentral:misc_RNA from 1 species